rnacentral:rRNA from 1 species
AUGAAUGGGGAUUUUAAUUUGGUGCGCAGUGAAGAAGAGCGCAGCACCCAUAGGAUCAACAGGAGAUUGGCUAACAAAUUCAGGCACACCAUUAAUACCCUGGGCCUUCACGACAUGCUGUUGGUGGGUAGGAGAUUUACCUGGUGUAAUGAUCAAGAACACACUGUGAUGGCCAGGUUGGAUCUUGUUCUGUUUAACAAUGCCUGUGAGGAGAUUUGCCCCAUGAGUGACCUAUUGCCACCUAGAUCUAGCAUUUCUGAUCACUGUCCUUUGCUUCUGACUUGCUCCUCGGACCGGCCGAAGGUUCGCCACUUCCGGUUUGAAAAUUUCUGGGUCAAGUUGCCUGGGUUUAUGGAGAUUAUCAAAACAGUCUGGGAAGAGGAGGUUUUUCUGCGAAUGAUCCCAUGUUAA